rnacentral:rRNA from 1 species
CCCCUAGAUGUUCUGGGCCGCACGCGCGCUACACUGAACAGUUCAACAAGUCUUAACCUUGGCCGAUAGGUCUGGGUAAUCUUUGAACGCUGUUCGUGAUUGGGAUAGACCUUUGCAAUUAUGGGUCUUCAACGAGGAAUUCCUAGUAAACGCAAGUCAUCAGCUUGCAUUGAUUACGUCCCUGCCCUUUGUACACACCGCCCGUCGCACCUACCGAUUGAGUGGUCCGGUGAAAUCUCGGGACGGCGGCUUGGUCGCUUGCGUCCGACUGCUGAAACUUGAUUAAACCAUAUCAUUUAGAGGAAGGUGAANUCGUAACA